GCUGGGGCCGCCGUCGGGCCUUCUCCCUCCAGGGGCCCAAGAGCCACUGGUACUCAGUGUCUGGGUGGGGGCAGGGGGGAUUUUUGUUCUCCCAGCACCUGCGGCUGUUGAGACCAGAGAAGCUGGUGGUCGACCACAGCCUGGGGUAUUAGUUCACCCCUAGCUUCUCCCCAGCGAGACCCCAGGGCCCUUGGGCACAGGGGAUUAAGCCUCUAUCUGCUUACGUGCAAGCGGAAGAAAUAGGCCCAGAGAGCAACAGUGGCGGGUCUGCAGUCACACAGCCAACUUGCGCUUGUGGCAGUGGCAAGGUUGGUGAGUAUCUGAGUCUUCAGGCCACGGCAUUUUCCGCUCGAGUGGAGCCUGGAAGCUGGUUCAGUGGGGCUGUCGACCACAGGUACCAACCCUGCCCUCCCCUACAGAGUAUGUGACGUAGGCACAGCCAAUGACUGCAUCCCAGUGCUUCGACCAGUCACAGGGUCAAGGGUGAGCACGUGACCCCAGCAAAUGAGCACAUCCCUGGGGCUGGCGUGCAGAGGCUCUGGGAGUAAAGCUUCCUUUUCCCUGGCCAGGUGCAGUGGCUCACACCUGUAAUCCCAGCACUUUGGAGUCCCAAGCAGGCAGA
rnacentral:lncRNA from 1 species